rnacentral:misc_RNA from 1 species
GAUGAAGAACGUAGCGAAAUGCGAUAAGUAAUGUGAAUUGCAGAGUUCAGUGAAUCAUCGAAUCUUUGAACGCACAUUGCGCCCGUCAGUAUUCUGACGGGCAUGCCUGUCCGAGCGUCAUUUCAACCCUCAAGCACUGCUUGGCGUUGGCGGAUUGUGUGCCCUCGCGGCGCUGCAACCGCCCAAAUACAGUGGCGGUCCCGCUGCGGCUCCCUUUGCGUAGUAACUCACCUCGCACUGGACCGGGCGGCGGCCUGCCGUAAAACCCCAACUCACGAAAUGUUGACCUCGGAUCAGGUAGGAAUACCCGCUGAACUUAAGCAUAUCAAUAAGCGGAGGA